UACGUAGGGUGCAAGCGUUGUCCGGAAUUAUUGGGCGUAAAGAGCUUGUAGGCGGUUUGUCGCGUCUGCUGUGAAAAUCCGGGGCUCAACCCCGGACUUGUAGUGGGUACGGGCAGACUAGAGUGUGGUAGGGGAGACUGGAAUUCCUGGUGUAGCGGUGGAAUGCGCAGAUAUCAGGAGGAACACCGAUGGCGAAGGCAGGUCUCUGGGCAGUAACUGACGCUGAGGAGCGAAAGCAUGGGGAGCGAACAGG
rnacentral:rRNA from 1 species